rnacentral:rRNA from 1 species
UACGAAGGGGGCUAGCGUUGUUCGGAAUUACUGGGCGUAAAGCGCGCGCAGGCGGUCUUCCAAGUCAGUGGUGAAAGCCCGGAGCUCAACUCCGGAACUGCGAUUGAAACUGUAAGACUUGAGGAUGAGAGAGGUGAGUGGAAUUCCCAGUGUAGAGGUGAAAUGCGUAGAUAUUGGGAAGAACACCGGUGGCGAAGGCGGCUCACUGGCUCAUAUCUGACGCUCAGGCGCGAAAGCGUGGGGAGCAAACAGG